AGCGGUAACAGAAAGUAGCUUGCUACUUUGCUGACGAGCGGCGGACGGGUGAGUAAUGCUUGGGAACAUGCCUUGAGGUGGGGGACAACAGUUGGAAACGACUGCUAAUACCGCAUAAUGUCUACGGACCAAAGGGGGCUUCGGCUCUCGCCUUUAGAUUGGCCCAANNNGNNAUUANCUAGUUGGUGAGGUAAUGGCUCACCAAGGCAACGAUCCCUAGCUGGUUUGAGAGGAUGAUCAGCCACACUGGAACUGAGACACGGUCCAGACUCCUACGGGAGGCAGCAGUGGGGAAUAUUGCACAAUGGGCGAAAGCCUGAUGCAGCCAUGCCGCGUGUGUGAAGAAGGCCUUCGGGUUGUAAAGCACUUUCAGUCAGGAGGAAAGGGUGUGAGUUAAUACCUCACAUCUGUGACGUUACUGACAGAAGAAGCACCGGCUAACUCCGUGCCAGCAGCCGCGGUAAUACGGAGGGUGCGAGCGUUAAUCGGAAUUACUGGGCGUAAAGCGUACGCAGGCGGUUUGUUAAGCGAGAUGUGAAAGCCCCGGGCUCAACCUGGGAACUGCAUUUCGAACUGGCAAACUAGAGUGUGAUAGAGGGUGGUANAAAUUUCAGGUGUAGCGGUGAAAUGCGUAGAGAUCUGAAGGAAUACCGAUGGCGAANGCAGCCACCUGGGUCAACACUGACGCUCAUGUACGAAAGCGUGGGGAGCAAACGGGAUUAGAUACCCCGGUAGUCCACGCCGUNNCGAUGUCUAC
rnacentral:rRNA from 1 species